rnacentral:rRNA from 1 species
UGAGGAAUAUUGGUCAAUGGGCGAGAGCCUGAACCAGCCAAGUAGCGUGCAGGAUGACGGCCCUAUGGGUUGUAAACUGCUUUUAUGUGGGGAUAAAGUGCGUGACGUGUCAUGCAUUGCAGGUACCACAUGAAUAAGGACCGGCUAAUUCCGUGCCAGCAGCCGCGGUAAUACGGAAGGCCCGGGCUUUAUCCGGAUUUAUUGGGUUUAAAGGGAGCGUAGGCUGUCUAUUAAGCGUGUUGUGAAAUUUACCGGCUCAACCGGUGACUUGCAGCGAGAACUGGUCGACGUGAGUAUGGAGGAAGUAGGGGGAAUUCAUGGUGUAGCGGUGAACUGCUUAGAUAUCAUGACAAACUCCGAUUGCGCAGGCAGCUUACUGUAGCAUAACUGACGCUGAUGCUCGAAAGUGCGGGUAUCAAGCAGG